rnacentral:rRNA from 1 species
UACAGAGGUCUCAAGCGUUGUUCGGAUUCAUUGGGCGUAAAGGGUGCGUAGGCGGCGCGGUAAGUCGUAUGUGAAAUCUCGGAGCUUAACUUCGAAACUGCAUUCGAUACUGCCGUGCUUGAGGACUGGAGAGGAGACUGGAAUUUACGGUGUAGCGGUGAAAUGCGUAGAUAUCGUAAGGAAGACCAGUGGCGAAGGCGGGCCUCUGGACAGUUCCUGACGCUGAGGCACGAAGGUCAGGGGAGCAAACGGG